GGGGAAUUUUCCGCAAUGGGCGAAAGCCUGACGGAGCAAUACCGCGUGAGGGAGGAAGGUUUUUGGAUUGUAAACCUCUUUUUUAAAGGAAGAAGAAAGUGACGGUACUUUAAGAAUAAGCAUCGGCUAACUCCGUGCCAGCAGCCGCGGUAAUACGGAGGAUGCAAGCGUUAUCCGGAAUCAUUGGGCGUAAAGCGUCCGCAGGUGGUUAAUCAAGUCUGCUGUUAAAGACAGAAGCUCAACUUCUGGUCGGCAGUGGAAACUGGUGAACUAGAGUACGGUAGGGGUUGAGGGAAUUCCCAGCGUAGCGGUGAAAUGCGUAGAUAUUGGGAAGAACACCAGUGGCGAAGGCGCUCAACUGAGCCGUAACUGACACUCAGGGACGAAAGCUAGGGUAGCGAAAGGGAUUAGAUGCCCCUGUAGUCUUAGCUGUAAACGAUGAACACUAGGCGUUGCUUGUAUCGACCCGAGCAGUGCCGUAGCCAACGCGUUAAGUGUUCCGCCUGGGGAGUACGCACGCAAGUGUGAAACUCAAAGGAAUUGACGGGGGCCCGCACAAGCGGUGGAGUAUGUGGUUUAAUUCGAUGCAACGCGAAGAACCUUACCAGGACUUGACAUCUCGAGAAUCCUCCGUAAUGGGAGGAGUGCCUUAGGGAACUCGAAGACAGGUGGUGCAUGGCUGUCGUCAGCUCGUGUCGUGAGAUGUUGGGUUAAGUCCCGCAACGAGCGCAACCCUCGUUCUUAGUUGCCAGCAUUAAGUUGGGCACUUUAGGAAGACUGCCGGUGACAAACCGGAGGAAGGUGGGGAUGACGUCAAGUCAGCAUGCCCCUUACGUUCUGGGCUACACACGUACUACAAUGGUUGGGACAAAGGGCAGCGAACUCGCAAGAGUAAGCGAAUCUCAUCAAACCCAGCCUCAGUUCAGAUUGCAGGCUGCAACUCGCCUGCAUGAAGGAGGAAUCGCUAGUAAUCGCAGGUCAGCAUACUGCGGUGGAUUCGUUCCCGGGCCUUGUACACACCGCCCGUCACACCAUGGAAGUUGGCCACGCCCGAAGUCGUUACCCUAACCGUUUAGGCGGAGGGGGAUGCCGAAGGCAGGGCUGGUGACUAGGGUGAAGUCGUAACAAGGUAGCCGUAC
rnacentral:rRNA from 1 species